AGUUUCUGUAGGUCAGACAUCCAGCAAGGAGUUUCUGGGUUCUUUGCUCUGGGUUUUAGGAGAGUGAAUUCGAGAUGUGAGCCAGACCAAGUUCUAAUUUGUAAACUCUGAAGAAAAGUUAUUGUCCAAGGUAUUUUGUGGUGAAGAUGAACUCUAGAAUCAGGUACUGCAAUUUGAAUGCUGGCUCCACAACUGAUAAGGUACAUGCCCUGGGACAAACCACACCACCUCUCAGA
rnacentral:lncRNA from 10 species